GCCAGGUGUUGUGGCGCAUGCCUGUAAUCCCAGCUACUUAGGAGGCUGAGGCAGGAGAAUCACUUGAACCCAGGAGGCGGAGGCUGCAGUGAGCCAAGAUCAUGCCACUGCACUCCAGCCUGGGCAAUACAGUGAGACUCUGUCUCAA
rnacentral:SRP_RNA from 2 species